CAUUUGGUUUGCACAUGUCCUACUCAGACACAGGUCCAACUUCCUCAGUCCUUAACGCAAUAGAGGGAGAAUUAAGGACUGGCAGUGUUGAGGUGAUUGGUGUGACAGGGGUUAAACUGGGAAAACAUUGGGUAAUUCCUCAGUUUCUUUGUCAAACUGACCCAAACCUGUGCUAGGAAGAGAUGGAGUGGAAAAGUUGAGGCAGAAAUGAAAUGGAAAACUGGGGUUAUUGACACUGUAAUUGCUGAAACUAAAUGUGUCCAAGCAGCAGCUCUUGUUGUGCAGGGAAUAACUCCUGUCAGCAGCAAGGUCCCGACUGAAGUGGCAGCUGCAGUUGUUCCUGGUGUGUGGGCCAGUGGAAUUGCAGGAGAGUGGAAGAGGGCAGAACCUGUAGGUAUUACCCCUAAUGUGGGAUCUCUCCUGGACGUGAAUGCAAGAACCUGCCAAGAAAACCAAUGGCCAAGAUGAUUGAUGAGUGCAGGACCUGAGAGAACCACCUUGAAUGACAACCUCGAGCAGUUUCCAGUAUUGGAUUGAAAAGAUGGCCUUUGCUGCAUCUCCUGGAGCAAGGAAAGCCAAGAAAGCUUUGCUUUGGAAGGAGAAAAUCUGGAAAGCUGGAAGGAAGAAGAGAAGCCACGUGACUCCUCCCUGAGCCCCAGACAGCCCCUGAACUGCCUUCCUGGGAAUGGUGGGACGGGCUGGACUCUGGAAUGCUCCCUCUGCAUGUGUGGCUCUCCCCUGCGGGAACUCCAGGAACUCCUGGUGCCGCCUGGGCCGAUGGAUUGGACGCCCCAGCCCCUCCGUUCCUGCCCAGCCCCUGGGGCCGUGUCGAGUGGUGGCACUGCCAGCCCCUGCAGGUGAGGGGGAAAGGGCCUUUGCAGGUCUUGGGGAUCACAUUUAUAGCAGUGGGAUGUAGCCUGGAAACUGCACUGAGCUGAGCCAAGGGAUUUAAAGGGACCAAGCAAGGGAGGUGAAGAAAGAAGGAAGAAGGGAAGUGAGGCAGCAGCCAAGCAGCACCAAGUUCCUGUGU